rnacentral:lncRNA from 1 species
UAAAUAACUGGACCUUCGACUUUGCUCAUGUUAGGACGAGGUUCUCCUCUUAUUCCUAACAUGGCUUUGGGGGUGCAUAAGGGCCGUUGCAAGGGCCUCUCCCCCAUCCGGCCUCUCAAUAAUCGGACCUUCGACUUUGCUCAUGUUAGGACGAGGUUCUCCUCCUGUUCCUAACAUGGUUGUGGGGGCGCAUAAGGGCCGUUGCAAGGGCU